UUGACCUCGGAUCAGGUAGGAAUACCCGCUGAACUUAAGCAUAUCAAUAAGCGGAGGAAAAGAAACCAACAGGGAUUGCCCUAGUAACGGCGAGUGAAGCGGCAACAGCUCAAAUUUGAAAUCUGGCUCUCGGGCCCGAGUUGUAAUUUGUAGAGGAUACUUUUGAUGCGGUGCCUUCCGAGUUCCCUGGAACGGGACGCCAUAGAGGGUGAGAGCCCCGUCUGGUUGGAUGCCAAAUCUCUGUAAAGUUCCUUCGACGAGUCGAGUAGUUUGGGAAUGCUGCUCUAAAUGGGAGGUAUAUGUCUUCUAAAGCUAAAUACCGGCCAGAGACCGAUAGCGCACAAGUAGAGUGAUCGAAAGAUGAAAAGCACUUUGAAAAGAGAGUUAAAAAGUACGUGAAAUUGUUGAAAGGGAAGCGUUUAUGACCAGACUUGGGCUUGGUUAAUCAUCUGGGGUUCUCCCCAGUGCACUUUUCCAGUCCAGGCCAGCAUCAGUUUUCCCCGGGGGAUAAAGACUUCGGGAAUGUGGCUCUCUUCGGGGAGUGUUAUAGCCC
rnacentral:rRNA from 2 species